GACGAACGCUGGCGGCGUGCUUAACACAUGCAAGUCGAACGGUGAAGCCCUUCGGGGUGGAUCAGUGGCGAACGGGUGAGUAACACGUGAGCAACCUGCCCCUGGCUCUGGGACAACCACUGGAAACGGUGGCUAAUACCGGAUACGACCCGCCUCGGCAUCGAGUGUGGGUGGAAAGUUUUUCGGCUGGUGAUGGGCUCGCGGCCGAUCAGCUUGUGGGUGAGGUGAAGGCUCACCAAGGCGACGACGGGUAGCCGGCCUGGGAGGGCGAACGGCCACACUGGGCCUGCGACACGGCCCAGACUCCUACGGGAGGCAGCAGUGGGGAAUAUUGCACAAUGGGCGAAAGCCUGAUGCAGCGACGCCGCGUGAGGGAUGACGGCCUUCGGGUUGUAAACCUCUUUCAGCUCCGAAGAAGCGAAAGUGACGGUAGGAGCAGAAGAAGCACCGGCUAACUACGUG
rnacentral:rRNA from 1 species